AAAUAUGCUCUUCACUUAUUUUUUUUAAUUGCUCUUCUCCCUCUUUUAAAAGAGAUUUUAACCCAAUUUUUAAAAAAAGAUCCAAGAAGCAGACUCACCCAGCAAAAUGGAGACAUAAUUCAUGAGAGAUGAAGGUGUAAUAACAUCAUCACUACUGCUCAUGCCUGGGACUCCUGGACAACGGUCCUUCCCAAGACAGUUCAGCUUCUUCAGUGAAUGAGCAUUCCUUCCAAGGGAAAAGCCAACAAAGAAAUUCUACAGAUGUCUUUUCAUAGAGUCAUAUCAAGUCCAAACCUUCUCCUCUUCUGAUCAGCCAUUUCUUGGAGAGAAGCUAUUUUUGUCUGGUUCGUUGUGGUUUGUUUUGCUUUGUUUUGUUUUUUCCAAAAGAGAUCUUACUUAUGUUUAUGUACAUACUAAUAAAUGCAAAGAAAAAAGUCUGGAAG
rnacentral:lncRNA from 1 species